GCUAUACAAAUAAAAUUUGAUUUGAUUUGAUACAGUUUUGUGCACCAGAGAAAUUCGCUGCUUCCUGAUUGUGAAAACCAACUUGCUAUCCAGUGUGUGCAUGGCAGAUAUUUAGACACUGGAAACGAGCCUGAGAAGGAGGAGGAGUUCCUCGCCCCACCCCCUGUUGUCAUCGUCAUCAUGGCCUCCAUUCCUCUCAGGGAUGCAGAGAAAGAGCAGAGUUUCAGAAAUCAGGUCAACACAGUGGGGCACCUGACAGAUGAGGAGAGGACACAUACGUGGCCCAGAGUGAGCACCCUGCAGGAGGGUCCGGCCAGGUGGGGACUUAAUCCUGUAACUUACUGUUUUACCAUGGAGCCAUCUGAAGUCUUCUGGUCUCAGAGACCUGACUAAUGUUGGAGGCGAUUCAGAGUAUUUGCAGGUUUCACAGGACAAGCUACAGACUGAUGGCUUUUGAGGGUUUGGUUCGUUCCUGUUUUUCUGUGAACAUCUUGGAUGUUUUGUUCUAAUGUUGAAGACAAAAGAAAGUGCUGCUGCCUUCAGGUUUCUCCUGAUGAAAAGGUUUGUCUAAAGAAAUUGAAAAAGACAAAAGCUGAAACUCAUCUGCAGUGUGCUAUUUGUGCUGCAUGCACGGCUGCUUCCAGUGUUACUGGGUCUAAUUAAAUCCUGCACAUAGCUCUGCUCCUCUAAUGACUUCUCCACAGGCUGCACGGCUCAUACGCUGCACAUUAACACAACACACAUGCUGUAGUAUAACAUGAGAAAAAAGAAAAUGAAUAAAUCUAAUGAUUACUGGAUGAGCUGAUUAACUGCCAUUCAACUCAUCUAAGAAAUCUGAUGUUAGGACUGAAUUUGACUUCCAGCUAUAACUCAGGAUGCUCCGACCCACACACUCGAUUCCCUAGAUUUGGUCUCAGCAUGUCUGAGUUGGCUGAACGGCUGACAGGCUUCAGCAGCCUGUGCAGGGUUCAUUCCUACAACACCGCGGGGGCAGAAGAGCCACCGACGGGGUUCCUCUCAUGAUAGCUCGCCGAGGAGGAUGGAGGGGUUGUGAUUGAAACCAUGCAUGAGUGUGUGACAGCAAUUUUUAGACAUUGCACCUUUAAUCGGCUAAAACAGAUUAAAAGUGUUUGAUGCGCCUUCAAUGCCCGACCUCCACCCGCGCUGUUGGAAAUGCAUCCUGAAUAAAUCAAGGUUGAAUUUAUUGUCAAGCACGAAAACAUGAAUGAGCCAGUCCUGCCCUUAAUUCUAUACAGGAUUAUCAAUCUAAAUAUCAGUUUAAUUAUGGACCCAAUUAAGGUUUGUUUGUAAAAUUGAGCACAAGUCAGCAAAGCGUGACAUUCACGGGACAUGGCUCUAGAAAAAAAAGAAGGCAUUAAAAAUAGGCCACAAUGCAAAAUCAACCCCAUCAUCACA